AGUCACUGACAUUAGAUACCCGUGUAGUCCAGGGUGUAAACGCUGCAGACUUGGUGUUGGAGGCCCUUUGGGGGCAUUCAGUGCCGGAGAGAAGUUGUUAAGUCUGCUACUUGGGGAGUACGUCCGCAAGGAUGAAACUUAAAGGAAUUGGCGGGGGAGCACCGCAACGGGAGGAGCGUGCGGUUUAAUUGGAUUCAACACCGUAAACUCACCAGGGAAGACUGUUACAUGAAGGCCGAGAUGAAGACUCUGCUAGAUUUUUCAG
rnacentral:rRNA from 1 species